rnacentral:rRNA from 1 species
GACGAACGCUGGCGGCGUGCUUAACACAUGCAAGUCGAACGGAAAGGCCCUGCUUUUGUGGGGUGCUCGCGUGGCGAACGGGUGAGUAACACGUGAGUAACCUGCCCUUGACUUUGGGAUAACUUCAGGAAACUGGGGCUAAUACCGGAUAGGAGCUCCUGCUGCAUGGUGGGGGUUGGAAAGUUUCGGCGGUUGGGGAUGGACUUGGGGCUUAUCAGCUUGUUGGUGGGGUAGUGGCUUACCAAGGGUUUGAUGGGUAGCCGGCCUGAGAGGGUGACCGGCCACAUUGGGACUGAGAUACGGCCCAGACUCCUACGGGAGGCAGCAGUGGGGAAUAUUGCACAAUGGGCGGAAGCCUGAUGCAGCAACGCCGCGUGCGGGAUGACGGCCUUCGUGUCGUAAACCGCUUUCGCCUGUGACGAAGCGUGAGUGACGGUAAUGGGUAAAGAAGCACCGGCUAACUACGUG